GGCUAGAGCACGCAAGGAACCACCUCCAUAUUGGAUCAAACAACCAUAGUCCACGGGCGAAGGACAGUAGCGAGAUGAGGUGCUAGUAGGGGUUGGGCCAAAACCCAGGUUCAACCGGACAUAGCCAGCCGCCUCUCGACCACUGCCUUCGUGUGGUGGGCUCUAAUGGGCUCCUAGGCCUAGCCUCGUGUGGUGGUCUUCACUGGUGUACAUCUUGUUGGCGUAUCUUGUUUCUUUGUGUAAGUGAGUUGAAAAGCGUCUUACUGUGAAUAAUUCUCAUGUAUUCGUGUUCCGGACCUGUAAAAUAGAUAUCUCCAAAUACAUGUGGAACUAGGUUAAAAGUAUAUGCAUACGUAGUAUUAGCUUACUAACUUCCCUUAUUUUAUACAUUAAUUGGUGAUCGGAUCUCACUGUUAAUGAUGAGCAACAACAAGACAACACACACUUACAUAGCUCGAUUAGAACCUCUCUAUGUGCUCCUCUAGAUAUUCUUCUACUUUUGCCCCUUUGAUUUUUUCUAUUUGUUGGGUUGUCAUUGUUUUUGGGAAAAUUCAACUUUUAAUUUUAUUUUUUUUUACUUAGGAUCACACAAGAAGUAAGGACAGAAAAAAUGAGCUUAAACAUGUGAAAGACGUGACCUAUAGAA
rnacentral:lncRNA from 1 species